rnacentral:rRNA from 1 species
UACGGAGGAUGCAAGCGUUAUCCGGAAUGAUUGGGCGUAAAGCGUCCGCAGGUGGCUAUGUAAGUCUGCUGUUAAAGAGCAAAGCUUAACUUUGUAAAAGCAGUGGAAACUACAUAGCUAGAGUGCGUUCGGGGCAGAGGGAAUUCCUGGUGUAGCGGUGAAAUGCGUAGAGAUCAGGAAGAACACCGGUGGCGAAGGCGCUCUGCUAGGCCGCAACUGACACUGAGGGACGAAAGCGUGGGGAGCAAACAGG